rnacentral:rRNA from 1 species
UACGAAGGACCCAAGCGUUAUCCGGAUUCACUGGGUUUAAAGGGUGCGUAGGCGGGCAGGUAAGUCCGUGGUGAAAUCUCUGAGCUUAACUCAGAAACUGCCAUGGAUACUAUUUGUCUUGAAUAUUGUGGAGGUAAGCGGAAUAUGUCAUGUAGCGGUGAAAUGCUUAGAUAUGACAUAGAACACCAAUUGCGAAGGCAGCUUACUACACAGUUAUUGACGCUGAGGCACGAAAGCGUGGGGAUCAAACAGG